CGGCGGACGGGUGAGUAACACGUGGAUAACCUACCUAUAAGACUGGGAUAACUUCGGGAAACCGGAGCUAAUACCGGAUAAUAUAUUGAACCGCAUGGUUCAAUAGUGAAAGACGGUUUUGCUGUCACUUAUAGAUGGAUCCGCGCCGCAUUAGCUAGUUGGGUAAGGUAACGGCUUACCAAGGCAACGAUGCGUAGCCGACCUGAGAGGGUGAUCGGCCACACUGGAACUGAGACACGGUCCAGACUCCUACGGGAGGCAGCAGGG
rnacentral:rRNA from 1 species